GUUCUAGCUAGUGAUUGGAUUCGAUACCAUCUCUGGUAUCCCAUUUUUCAAAUGGAGUCAUCCAUGCUAGAACUACUCUAACCCUAAUACGCUUAAAUCUUUUAACCUCUAAAGUUGUCACGCCCCGCGACCAACCGCCAAUUUGGACCUGGUUGCGGCGCCGUCGACAAACCGCCGAACGGACCGAGGUUUUUCCCUGCACACGGACAGAGUCUCCCCAGUACGUCCAAGGCGUCGCAAUCAAUACAAUACGAGUGGUUCCAAACAGGAACAGUAUUCAUUCAAAGAUUGCAUAUGGAAGUAUCAAAAACAUAAACUGCUAAGUUAUUACACCAUUCACUUAGAUACCUUUUACAUCAUAAUUUUACUUUUACAUUAACUUCCGAACACAAUCCCAAAUAUUACAAUUUAUUACAACUUAAUAAAAGUCUGUUCUUGUCUUUAAACCUCCCAAGCUAGACCACCAACUCGGGUACUGCUAUCUCGGUCUCUGGGGUAGGGCGCUAUCUACGGGGCUACGCCUUUGCCUCGCGCCGCCGCGCCGCUUACGUGUGUACUUGUAAACACCCCAAAACAACGUGGGGUGAGAACCAACUCCAUGGUUCCCAGUCGGUACGGCCACCCAAGGGAAAAGCUUGGUCGAUAUGUCUAAU
rnacentral:lncRNA from 1 species